rnacentral:tRNA from 1 species
GCGGGGUCGUAGCGCAGAGGCAGACGCACCGGUCUCCAGAACUGGGGCACGCUGGUUCGAAUCCAGCCACCCCGCC